rnacentral:rRNA from 1 species
GACGAACGCUGGCGGCGUGCUUAACACAUGCAAGUCGAACGGAAAGGCCCUGCUCUUGUGGGGUGCUCGAGUGGCGAACGGGUGAGUAACACGUGAGUAACCUGCCCUUGACUUUGGGAUAACUUCAGGAAACUGGGGCUAAUACCGGAUAGGAGCUCCUGCUGCAUGGUGGGGGUUGGAAAGUUUCGGCGGUUGGGGAUGGACUCGCGGCUUAUCAGCCUGUUGGUGGGGUAGUGGCUUACCAAGGCUUUGACGGGUAGCCGGCCUGAGAGGGUGACCGGCCACAAUGGGACUGAGAGACGGCCCAGACGCCAACGGGCGGCAGCAGUGGGGAAUAUUGCACAGUGGGCGGAAGCCUGAUGCAGCGGCGCCGCGUGCGGGAUGACGGCCUACGGGUUGUAAACCGCUUUCGCCUGUGACGAAGCGUGAGUGACGGUAAUGGGUAAAGAAGCACCGGCUAACUACGUG